CAGCAGUUUAAUUCCACCGCUGAAAGAGAUGGUGUAAAGAGAUUUGAAAGCACUAAAACAGCCACUUAUUUUGUGGUGAGAUUGUUUUGUCAAGUACUGUCUCUGUGGUCAUGAAUGAGCUCUUGGUAUUAAGUCAUAAUGUAAAAACCAAGAUAAGCAUUCUUUAUGAUAAAGCAGUCUGAUCUCAGACUCUGUCGAACAUGGCGGAUGCUCAGGAUGAGGUCCAAGAUGAAGACAAAACACUGGAUCAAGCUGAGGUGGCACUUGGGGACCACGUGACAGGAGGAGUGGUUCAGAGUUGGAGGCAGGUGCAGAGGAGACUGGGCAAUGUCCCACCUAAAGGCCAAUCUGGUGUUGCUGUUGACCAUGACAAGCUCCUGGCUGAAGUGAAGGAGUGUCAAAAUCUUGUCAGAUUACAACAGGAGCUGCUGCAGGUGUGACUAUCUUGUGUGCUAAUACAAUUACACAAGCACAUCAGACAUAAAAAUACUCUGCUCGUUUUCUGCCUGCAGGACAGCUUUGUUUCACCCAUCCCCUCUGAACUGUCUGAUUCCUACUUUUUGGAAGAGUGGGAACAUCUUCAGAUGCGAGUGGCAGAGCUUGAACAUCAGAGGCGGACUUUUGAAAGGGAGCGGAAGUCUUUCACUGAUGCUGUAAUCCGACUAAGCCAUGAGCGCCGUGAUUUUGAGCAACAGAAAGGUUCCCUAAUGAAGCAGCAGUUUUUGUGUGACUCACCUCUAUUUACUAAAGGGGCACUGAGCUGCAACAGGCGAGAGAGCACUGCUCUCAAUUUCUCAGGUUUGGGGCCCACCAACAUAUCUGGCUGUCUUCCCAUUACGCCAUCAUCCACCGAUUCCAGGACUGCUGCUGUUCCUCAGUUACAUCAGGGAAGAGUUCGAGUUCAAACUCCCAGCACCCCUGAGCUGUACUCUGCUCUCAAUCUAUCAUACAACUGCAGAGCCAUUGAGGUUAAUCACCAGCAAGAGACAUGGGACGGUGGUGCAGACAGGAUAGUGCAUACACCACAUGCUCCACACUUAGACUGGUCAUUUUAAUGCAAUUUUUGUUGCUACAUUAGAUGGUCACUUAAAAUCCAAUUAUGCCUGUUUUCUCUUUUUAACAUCUUCAAUAAAGACUGAAUUUCCCUAUUGUUAUUUUGACACUACACUGUCUGACUAUAAUGAAAAUUGAUUCUGCCUGUUAUAAUACAGUAUUGACAACAGAUUUAGGUUUCUCAUGGUGGCUAAUUAUAAACCAGGACAUUUUAUCCACUAACUCCUUAUGAGAACUGUCUGUUCUGUGUGAUAUACCCAUGUGUUGUUUCCUAACAAACUGAAGAAUCAGAUGGUAAACUCAGUGCACUGUAACAACUUACCAUGUGAACACUGAUUCCUUUAAGCCCAUAGUUGUUACACUAGGCUUUUUUUGAACUCACUGAGCAUUGUGCAUUUAGAACCAUCUCAGGUUGGUGUCUGCUUCCAUGAAGAGCAACCACAGUACUGCCUUAUCCCUGUUUAUAGACAAUUUAAAAUAAAAAAUCUGUUCCAGCUUUAUUCAACUCAUCACCUACUGAGUCUAUUUAGAUUCCUUUAUAAAAUAAAGGUUUCUGAUGCAACAUCAGCCACUAGCAAGAUGCAUGAAGAAAAUCAAACUAAAGAGGGAAACACUUUCUGUGUAAUGAGUAACUUUAUUCUAAAACAAUAUGUUUUGGAUUGUGGCCUUUAUCAGUCAUUGUAAACACGUUAGGGAAUAUACUUAAAUGGAUAGUUGCACCUAUCUUAAGUGUGUUAUGGGAUCUCCUUUUCAAAUCAAAAGACAUUCCCA
rnacentral:lncRNA from 1 species